rnacentral:tRNA from 1 species
GCCCUGGUGGUCUAGUGGUAUGAUUCUCGCUUUGGGCACUAAAUUCGAAAUUAGAACACAAAUGCGAGAGGUCCCGCGUUCAAUCCGCGGCCAGGGCC